UUAUCAAAUGUUGGUGGUAAUUCCCAACUUGAUAGUGGUUGCAUGCAGCCUUGUUGGGAGUGAAUGCAAAUAAAAAAAAUAAAAAAAAAAUUUAGUUAUGCCACUGUGAAAGCGUCGAUUGUUAAGUAGACAUAAAAAGUUUGAAGAAUGCACAAAGCCUGAAAGUGUCAAAUAUGGAACCUAAAAAAACCUGCCUUUGCCACUGACUGUAUAGAGGUUUUUCAAGGUCUGUUUGUCAAGCGUCAAGUCAGGUUAUCUUGCUACUGGUACCAUGUAGUACAUCCUGCUUAAUCAGGUUGUACGCCAUCCAUACGAUGUUUGGGCAUCUGUUUGUAAAAUAUUGCUGCAAAUCUUUUUGAGAGAGCCAUUACUAUGGAGAACCAUCUAAACCAUACAAGUGUGGAAACAUGGAUAUUAAUGUGAAAUAAACUGAUGAGUUUAUUUAACUUAGCUGGUAAAAACAAGAGUUUUUGUGAAACAAAUUUAAUGAAGACAAUUAUAGGUAUACCUGUUAAUGUAAUAUAUUUUGUAUUGUAUUUUGUAUGCUUAGUUUUGACGAAUUUUUAAAUACUGCAAACUCACACUCGCACAAAAAUCAACUGUGAACUCUUAUUUAAUCAGUUGCAAAAGUUGACUUUGAAAAUUUUGUAUAAGAUAUUAUAGCUUAUUUAUUAGACUGUGUUUUUAGAAUGAAGUUUAUUCAUUUUCUGGCAACAUUUUUAGACGUGGUCCAGAUCGAAAAAAUUUGGUGCUAGAAAUUGUCGAUAGUGGAAGUGAUAGAUGCAUCGAACCUAAUUUGUAAUUAAUUUCUG
rnacentral:lncRNA from 1 species